GAAUUACUCCCUCCGUCCGGAAAUACUUGUCGGGGAAAUGGAUGUAUCUAGACGAAUUUUAGUUCUAGAUACAUCCAUUUUCGCGACAAGUAAUUCCGGACGGAGGGAGUAUUAU
rnacentral:pre_miRNA from 1 species